rfam:Camelus ferus unplaced genomic scaffold scaffold1629, whole genome shotgun sequence.
GAGGGUGUAUUUCAGUAGUUAGAGUACAUGCUUGGCAUGCAUGAGGUCCUGGGUUCAAUCCCCAGUACCUCCA